GGGGCCGUCUUGCCCCCCAGCUCUGCUCUCAGCUAUAUUUAUCUGCACUCUCACCAUAAAAGGUUGCGACUGCUGCCUGGACACCCUGACCAGGGCCAACAUUAUUUUCGUUGUGUCGACCGCAGCCCUGUGAGCACCUACCUGUAGGGUCUGCUGGGGUAUCAAGCUCUAGGUGUGGGGUUGGAUCAUAUUUGCCUGUAAAGCUUCAAGUUUGAGGAGUUUUGGCGGGGGAUCCAUGAUCACGAGGAACAUUUCAAGCGUAUGAACGAAGACAGCCUGAUGCACUCCCCGGAGUUUGUGAUUAAACCUCGCUCCCACACUGUGUGGGAGAACCAGUGUGUGCGACUGCACUGCACUGUCACCGGCUGGCCUGACCCCCGGGUCGUCUGGUACAAGAACAAUGUGCCUAUUGACCCCCUGUCCAACCCUGGCAAGUAUAAGCUCGAGAGCAGAUACAACGUGCACUCCAUGGAGAUUAACAAGUAAGUGUUUGAAAUGUAAAACUCAAAUAGAGACAAAAUAAAUAAAUAGUAUAUUAUUUGCUAUUUAGCUUGCGUCGUCAAUUGGUAGCGGGCCGCACAGAAAGAACGCAUAACUUAAGAUUAUUUCCGUUUUAUCCAUUAACAGAUUCUAAACGAUGUUU